rnacentral:tRNA from 1 species
CGGGGUGUAGCGCAGCCCGGUUAGCGCGUCUGCUUUGGGAGCAGAAGGCCGCAGGUUCGAAUCCUGCCACCCCGACCC